rnacentral:rRNA from 1 species
UACGUAGGGGCAAGCGUUGUCCGGAAUUAUUGGGCGUAAAGAGCGCGUAGGCGGUCCGUAUAAGUCGGCUGUGAAGUACGCAGGGCUCAACCCUUGGAAGCCGGCCGAUACUGUCGGACUAGAGUCGGAAGAGGGCGAGUGGAAUUCCCGGUGUAGCGGUGAAAUGCGCAGAUAUCGGAGGAACACCAAUGGCGAAGGCAGC